rnacentral:rRNA from 1 species
AGCGAACGUUAGCGGCGCGCCUAACACAUGCAAGUCGCACGAGAAAGGGGGCAACCCCCGGUACAGUGGCGCACGGGUGAGUAACACGUGGAUUACCUGCCCUGGAGUGGUGGAUAACCUGCCGAAAGGUGGGCUAAUACAGCAUGAGACCACGCGGUUUCGAUCGUGAGGUCAAAGCGGGCUUCUGUUCACAAGCUCGCGCUCUAGGAUGGGUCCGCGGCCCAUCAGCUAGUUGGUAGGGUAACGGCCUACCAAGGCAACGACGGGUAGCU